UUAAGCUAAUAAGAGCGCAGGGAGGAUGCCUUGGCAUCAGGAGCCGAUGAAGGACGCGGUAAGCUGCGAAAAGCUCCGGGGAGUGGCAAGCACACAUUGAUCCGGAGAUGUCCGAAUGGAGCAAUCCACAUGAGUGAAGCUCAUGUAUCAUAUACUGAAUAAAUAGGUAUAUGAGGGGAACCGUCUGAACUGAAACAUCUAAGUAGGACGAGGAAAAGAAAUCAACCGAGAUUCCGCUAGUAGUGGCGAGCGAACGCGGAAGAGGCUAAACCAGAGUCAGCAAUGACUUUGGGGUUUGGACUGCAUUUAGUAUCAAUGAGGUCUAGUCGAAGUACAUGGGAAGGUACAUCGAAGAGGGUGAGAAUCCCGUAGACGAAAGAUCAAGUUGGCGAGCAGUAUCCAGAGUACCGCCGGACACGUGAAACCCGGUGGGAACAUGGGGGGACCAUCCUCCAAGCCUAAAUACUACCUGAUGACCGAUAGCGCAUAGUACUGUGAAGGAAAGGUGAAAAGAACCCCGGGAGGGGAGUGAAAGAGAACCUGAAACCCUGUGCUUACAAGCACACAGAGCACGUCAAAGUGUGAUGUGGUACCUAUUGUAGAAUGGUCCGGCGAGUUAUUUUAUGCAGCGAGGUUAAGGACUUAAGGUCUGUAGCCGAAGUGAAAGCGAGUGUUAAUAGCACGAAACAGUUGCAUGCAAUAGACCCGAAACCGGGUGACCUAUCCAUGUCCAGGCUGAAGUGAGGGUAAAACCUCAUGGAGGGCCGAACCGACUCCCGUUGAAAUGGUAGCGGAUGAGGUGUGGAUAGCGGAGAAAUUCCAAUCGAACCCGGAUAUAGCUGGUUCUCCCCGAAACCGUUUUAGGACGGGCCUCGUGUGAAGAUUAUCGGAGGUAAAGCACUGAAUAGCCUAGGGGGCGAGAGCCUACCGAAGCUUAUCAAACUCUGAAUGCCGAAUAAUCGUUUCACGGGAGUCAGACUGUGUGAGAUAAGUUUCAUAGUCAAAAGGGAAACAGCCCAGACCCACAGCUAAGGUCCCAAAGUGUAUUUAAGUGGAAAACGAUGUGAAGUUGCGUAGACAACCAGGAUGUUGGCUUAGAAGCAGCCACUCAUUAAAAGAGUGCGUAAUAGCUCACUGGUCGAGUGACUUUGCGCGGAAAAUUUAACGGGGCUAAAAUACACACCGAAGCUUGGGCUUGACGCUUUGCGUCAGGGGUAGGGGAGCGUCGUGUAAGGGGCGAAGUCGUAUCGUAAGGGACGGUGGACUUUACACGAGUGAGAAUGCCGGAAUGAGUAGCGAGAAUUAUGUGAGAAUCAUAAUGGUCGAAAGCCUAAGGUUUUUGGAGGAAGGUUCGUCCGCUCCAAGUAAGCCGGGAGCUAAGGUCAGGCGGAAACGCGUAGCCGAUGCACAUACGGUUGAAAUUCCGUAGCCUCAGAAAGAUUUAAGCAGAGGGACACUUUGAAAGGACUGUAGCCGGGUGUUGGUUACCCCGGUCGUAAGGGAACGAAAUUAAGUAGUGAAGGCAGUCUGGACGGAGGCGAGAAAAGCUCUGUGUAUAUCUGAUGAGCCCGUACCGCAAACCGACACAGGUAGGUGGGAUGAGAAUUCUAAGACCAACGGGAGAAGGGUAGUUAAGGAACUCGGCAAAUUGUCCCCGUAACUUCGGAAUAAGGGGAGCCUGCGAAAGCAGGCCGCAGAGAAUUGGCCCAGGCGACUGUUUAUCAAAAACACAGCUCUAUGCUAAAUCGAAAGAUGACGUAUAUGGGGUGACACCUGCCCGGUGCUGGAAGGUUAAGAGGAGAUGUGAGAGCAUUGAAUUGAAGCCCCAGUAAACGGCGGCCGUAACUAUAACGGUCCUAAGGUAGCGAAAUUCCUUGUCAGGUAAGUUCUGACCC
rnacentral:rRNA from 1 species